AUUGAACGCUGGCGGUAUGCUUAACACAUGCAAGUCGAACGGUAACAGGCCUUCGGGCGCUGACGAGUGACGGACGGGUGAGUAACGCGUAGGAAUCUGCCUCAUAGUGGGGGACAACGUGGGGAAACUCACGCUAAUACCGCAUACGCCCUACGGGGGAAAGCGGGGGAUCUUCGGACCUCGCGCUAUGAGAUGAGCCUGCGUUAGAUUAGCUAGUUGGUAGGGUAAAGGCCUACCAAGGCGACGAUCUAUAGCUGGUCUGAGAGGACGAUCAGCCACACUGGGACUGAGACACGGCCCAGACUCCUACGGGAGGCAGCAGUGGGGAAUAUUGGACAAUGGGCGCAAGCCUGAUCCAGCAAUACCGCGUGUGUGAGAAGGCCCUAGGGUUGUAAAGCACUUUCAAUUGGGAGG
rnacentral:rRNA from 1 species